UUCCUGUCCAAAAUAACAAAGGGGUCCUCCCAAAUUCACCUAGCCUCUAGAACAGAAGAACCCCCAAAUCUCCCAGACCUAAGCCUCCGCCGCCGCCGCCGAGGCUGACCACCCUAGUCACCGGCUCACCGCGGUGCCGCCUUCCUCCCCGACCACCGUCCGCCGCCCUUCACCGCAGCAGCAUCUUCGUCCCUGACCAGGCGGCCAAGCGCACCACCGUCUUCGAGCACGAACCUCCGUCGCAGAGCAUCCUUCGCCGGUUCCUCCCCGACCCCCUAGCUCUGGCCGCCGACUCUAAGCCCCCUCCCCAAGCUCCCCGACCAACACCAUGGCUGAGCACACCCCGCCCCGCCGACCACCCUCCCCUGUGCCUGUGUGUCCCCAAGCAGCGCCGCCUCCCCACGCGGGGUUCUCCCGCGACCUAGAUCUACCGCCGUCCUCCACCAUCCCUCUUCCUCAGGCAGCCGCUUCAACCUCCUAGAGCUCGCCCCCCUGGAAGCACCUUCUCCACGAUGCUCCCCUACACACUAGGGUUAGCUAUCUUUUUUUUCUGAACUUAUCAAAUGAGGACUUGUGUUGUGACACCGAAACUGGAUUGUAGGAUGUGAUUGUGUUGAUGUAUUUUGCCUCGGUAUAGUUCUUUAUCUUUUUUAGUCUAAUAAUCUGAAAUCCUUUGAGUGCGUAUAAGGUGGAUGUGGCCAUGGAUGGGUGUUGCUCCAAGCAUUGCUCCUGCAAUAAGUGUACACUCUUCAAUUUGUAGGAGCCCUUGUGUCUUCUAUUAUUUGUUCAUUGCAUCACCCUCAGCUCAGUAUGCUUGAUAUUGACAAGUUGUAAUUUGUGACUACAACUUUGAUCUCUAUUAUUAUUUGUUCAUCGCAUCACCCCCAGCUCAGUAGGCAGACGGUGCACAUGAUUAACACUUGUCGGCAGUAUAUGUAUCACUAGCAAAUUGAUUGCCCUUGAUUCAGGAAUUAUAAUGCCUUGUUUGGUUAAACUUGUUAUUGCUUAUUCUUGGUACAGAUUGCCCGAGACAUUUAAUCUUCAUUCGGGGAGGAGCACACACCUUUUGCUUCAUGUAUUGAAGACUGAUGUUGAAUUUGUUUAUUUGUCAAAGGCCACUAGCAAGAUAAUAUAUGUUUUGGUGAAGCCAGAAGGGGAAGAGGAGUAGGCUGUGAGCAAAGCUGGGUCAAAGAUGAUUGGGGGAAGGUUGAUGUUGAGCAAAAAAAUCAUAUGUGGACAACCUUAAAGGUUUCUCAAAGAUGCACGAGUUGAUUGAGGUCUGGAAGAUCUGCAAGUUGCUGAAGUGAUGAUAUAUAUGUGUUGUUAGUUGAACUUGGGAGACAUUGGCAAGUUUCAUUCUGUCCAUUUUGGUGGUUUAUUUUGGCACAUUUAGCCACAGUAUACUCAUUUUGGUGUGGCGCAAUUUAUUUACGUAGAAAGAUAUGUACUGUGCCUUCUGUGGUACAAUGUCCUUAAUAUAUGAUCGUUUCAUGCAUGUACCUUGAAACAUAUGUAACCUACAUGUUAUGUAAUUUCGAGAGAAGCCCUACAUGCAACUUUGA